GGGGUUGUGGCUCAGUGGUAGAGUGCUUGUCUAGCAUGUACGAGGCACUGGAUUUGAUCCCCAGCACCACA
rnacentral:tRNA from 1 species